GAUGAGGACUCCCACCCCCUUGAGGGGUUAAGGCUCCCAGUAGACGACUGGGUUGAUAGGCCGGAUGUGGAAGCCCAGUAAUGGGUGGAGCUGACCGGUACUAAUAAGCCGAGGGCUUGUCCAU
rfam:Streptomyces glauciniger strain CGMCC 4.1858 genome assembly, contig: Ga0079895_131